rnacentral:rRNA from 1 species
GAUUUCUGGCUUGGCGCGCGCGGCCCGGUUCGCUUUGCGGACUGUGUGCCGUUGUGCGCCUGCCAUCCUUCUGGAGAACGGCUGUACCCUUCACUGGGCCGCAGUCGCGAUUCAGAUCUUUUACUUUGAAAAAAUUAGAGUGUUUCAAGCAGGCUUUAUGCUAUGAAUACAUUAGCAUGGAAUAAUAAUUUAGGACUUCGGUUCUAUUUUGUUGGUUUCUAGGACUGAAGUAAUGAUUGAUAGGGAUAGUUGGGGGUGCUAGUAUUCAGCGGCCAGAGGUGAAAUUCUCGGAUUCGCUGAAGACUAACUUAUGCGAAAGCAUU